rnacentral:rRNA from 1 species
AUUGAACGCUGGCGGCAGGCCUAACACAUGCAAGUCGAACGAGUGGCGGACGGGGGAGUAAUGUCUGGGAAACAGCCUGAUGGAGGGGGAUAACUACUGGAAACGGUAGCUAAUACCGCAUAUCAUCGGCUGGGCCCAGAUGGGAUUAGCUAGUAGGUGGGGUAAAGGCUAACCUGGGCGACGAUCCCUAGCUGGUCUGAGAGGAUGACCAGCCACACUGGAACUACGACACGGUCCAGACUCCUACGGGAGGCAGCAGUGGGGAAUAUUGCACAAUGGGCGCAAGCCUGAUGCAGCCAUGCCGGGUGUAUGAAGAGGGCCUUCGGGUUGUAAAGGACUUUCAGCGGGGAGGCGUUACCCGCAGAAGAAGCACCGGCUAACUCCGUGCCAGCCGCCGCGGUAAUAC